rnacentral:rRNA from 1 species
CAAUGAUAUUAUACUGUAUUAUGCUAGUUUGAUCUCGUCAGAUUUCAGAAGCUAAGCAUGACUGGGUCUGGUUUGGACUUGGAUGGGAGACCGCUGGGAAUGCCAGGUGCCACAGC